UCCUACGGGAGGCAGCAGUGAGGAAUAUUGGUCAAUGGGCGUGAGCCUGAACCAGCCAAGUAGCGUGAGGGAUGACGGCCCUACGGGUUGUAAACCUCUUUUGCCGGGGAAUAAAGUGUCCUACUUGUAGGAUUUUGCAUGUACCCGGAGAAUAAGGACCGGCUAAUUCCGUGCCAGCAGCCGCGGUAAUACGGAAGGUCCGGGCGUUAUCCGGAUUUAUUGGGUUUAAAGGGAGCGCAGGCCGGUGAUUAAGCGUGACGUGAAAUGCCGCGGCUCAACCGGUGACGUGCAGCGCGAACUGGUUUCCUUGAGUGAGUACGACGUCAGCGGAAUUCGUGGUGUAGCGGUGAAAUGCUUAGAUAUCACGAAGAACUCCGAUUGCGAAGGCAGCUGACGAGUCCUUUACUGACGCUAAAGCUCGAAAGUGCGGGUAUCGAACAGGAUUAGAUACCCUGGUAGUCC
rnacentral:rRNA from 1 species